rnacentral:rRNA from 1 species
GACGAACGCUGGCGGCGUGCUUAACACAUGCAAGUCGAACGGUAAGGCCCUACCUUGCUGGGGUACUCGAGUGGCGAACGGGUGAGUAACACGUGGGUGACCUGCCCCUCACUUUGGGAUAAGCUUGGGAAACUGGGUCUAAUACCGGAUAGGACCGCACCGUGCGGGUUUGGUGGUAAGUUUUUCGGUUGGGUAUGGGUCCGCGGCCUAUCAGCUUGUUGGUGGGGUAGUGGCCUACCAAGGCUGCGACGGGUAGCCGGCCUGAGAGGGUGGACGGCCACAUUGGGACUGAGACACGGCCCAGACUCCUACGGGAGGCAGCAGUGGGGAAUAUUGCACAAUGGGCGGAAGCCUGAUGCAGCAACGCCGCGUGGGGGAUGACGGCCUUCGGGUUGUAAACGCCUUUCGCCUGUGACGAAGGUUGUGUGACGGUAGUGGGAGAAGAAGCACCGGCUAACUACGUG